UCACAUGAUGAGGUAAUUUGCGCUUGACCCAGUUUCUGUGAAGCUCUCGCCGGAGUUUCGAUACAGGGCUGGAGUGUGAUAUUCAAUUCUUACAUAUGCUGAUG
rnacentral:snoRNA from 1 species